UACAGAGGGUGCAAGCGUUAAUCGGAAUUACUGGGCGUAAAGCGAGCGUAGGUGGCUUGAUAAGUCAGAUGUGAAAUCCCCGGGCUUAACCUGGGAACUGCAUCUGAUACUGUCAGGCUAGAGUAGGUGAGAGGAAGGUAGAAUUCCAGGUGUAGCGGUGAAAUGCGUAGAGAUCUGGAGGAAUACCGAUGGCGAAGGCAGCCUUCUGGCAUCAUACUGACACUGAGGCUCGAAAGCGUGGGUAGCAAACAGGAUUAGAUACCCUGGUAGUCCACGCCGUAAACGAUGUCUACUAGUCGUUGGGUCCCUUGAGGACUUAGUGACGCAGCUAACGCAAUAAGUAGACCGCCUGGGGAGUACGGCCGCAAGGUUAAA
rnacentral:rRNA from 1 species